rnacentral:rRNA from 1 species
AAGUGGGGAUGACGUCAAGUCAGCACGGCCCUUAUGUCCAGGGCUACACACGUGUUACAAUGGCCGGUACAGAGGGCAGCUACCUGGGGACAGGAUGCGAAUCUCCAAAGCCGGUCUCAGUUCGGAUCGGAGUCUGCAACUCGACUCCGUGAAGCUGGAUUCGCUAGUAAUCGCGCAUCAGCCAUGGCGCGGUGAAUACGUUCCCGGCCUU